GUGCUCACUUCAGCAGCACACAUACUAAAAUUGGAAUGAUACAGAGAAGAUUAGCAUGGCCCCUGCUCAAAGAUGACAUGCAAAUUCAUGAAAAGUUCCUUAUUAAA
rnacentral:snRNA from 1 species